rnacentral:rRNA from 1 species
UACGUAGGUGACCAGCGUUGUCCGGAUUUACUGGGCGUAAAGAGCGCGCAGGCGGUCGUUCAAGUCGAGUGUGAAAGCCCCCGGCUCAACUGGGGAGGGUCACUCGAUACUGAUCGACUUGAAGGCAGGAGAGGGAAGCGGAAUUCCCGGUGUAGUGGUGAAAUGCGUAGAUAUCGGGAGGAACACCAGAGGCGAAGGCGGCGACCUGGACAGUCACUGACACUCAACUGCGAAAGCGUGGGAAGCAAACAGG